ensembl:lncRNA
CCGGGGGUGUCUUGAACUGUCCAGAAGAGGCAAACGCUAGAGAGACAGAGGAAGAUGAUAAAGAGGAAAGGAGCCCUCCCAAUCCACCCCCAAGCUCAGAGCCGGAGUACGCGGCGCUCCAGGGGCCAGCGGACACUCUCCUGGACGGCCCCGCAGGGCGCAUCCCUCCCGCAGGCAGGCAGCGAAGAAGGCCGGCGCCGGGCUGCUGGGUCCGGCUCCUGCCAGCUGCUGACCGCGGCGCCGCGUCCUCGCCGGGCGAAGCCUAGCGACUUCAGGUCAGGUGUCUCUCCUUCCCUAGGGCCCGCCGCCCACACCGGGGCAGAAAAGCGACUCCCAAUGGUAUGGAGACCUUCGCAUCGGUCCAGCUCUCGCCCCUGGACCCGGGGCAAGUUGAACUAACAGACGUCCCCCCCACCCCCCCCACCAACUAUGGGACCAUCUGGUUGAAGAAUCAUAAUCGGAGAUACUUUGGCUCCUGAAACAACAAUUAACGAAUGUCGCAAGACAAUGAUUAAUCCCAGCCUCUUCAUUCUUCCUCUUUAAAAACCCUAACUCAGAGACUAAGGUGAAGAAGAUCUGAGGCUUGUCUCCCACUCCCUUGCUUAGAACCUGCAAUAAACUGCAAUAAACUUAGAACCUGCUUAGAACCUGCUGUAUUUUCCUUCACCAAGUGAACAACAAAAAAAAUUCUUGCCCACCAUCAAGCCAUCAGCCACUGCAGCUGCCCUCCAUGUGCACCCUGAGGGGCAUUCAGGAUGGAGAGAAACAAGAUACUGGCCCUAGAUAAUUAAGAUGCAUAUCAAAGCAAAAACUCCUAUGUAUCCUGGCUCCUAAUGGCAGAAAGUGAAGAGAAACUAAAGAGCCUCUUGAUGAGGGUGAAAGAGGAGAGUGAAAAAGCUGGCUUUAAAACUCAACAUUUAGAAAACUAAGAUCAUGGCAUCUGGUCCCAUCAUUUCAUGACAAACAGAUGGGGAAAGAAUGGAAACCGUGGCAGAUUUUAUUUUCUUGGGCUCCCAAAUCACUGCAGCAGUGAUGCUUGCCCCUUGGGAAAAGCUAUGACAAAUCUAGACAGCAUUCUAAAAAGCAGAGACAUAACUUGGCUGACAAAACUCUGUAUAGUCAAAACUAUGGUUUUUCUAGAAGUCAUGUAUGGAUGUGAGAGUUGUGAUGUAGGCGAUAGAUAGGCUCCAGGUUAGAUAUUUACAGCUGGCCUCCUGUUUGCAUUUCAUGGGGCACCAAGAAGUAGGCUUCAGGCUGGGUAUUUAGAACUGUUAGCAUUUUCUGAGACUAGAGAUGGGUGGGCUCCAGUUAAGACAUUUUCAAUCAGACUUCUGAUUGCCCUCUGAAACGCAGGUAACAGCAUAAACAGGGUAAAUAAGCCAGUGUUUCUCUCUUGUAAGCACCUGAAGGUAAUAGUCAUGGCAAGGACAAAGAGGAGCAAAAAACCCUGUUUCAGUAAAGGAUUAAGGGAUCUCCCUGCCCCCUCUUUUGGGACAAGGGAGACACUACAGAUGUGCAGAAAGGUUCUUUGUGGGCCAAAAGGCAGAGGAUAACACCAGGCCAUAAUGAGUCUUGCUCCUCUCAGAAGCCGUCACUUCAAGAUCCAUCUUGGCUGAGGGGUGCCUGUGCGCCCAGGGGAGGGUCCCAAGUAGGUCAGGUGAGGAAAAAGAAACCACAUAAUUGGCCUGAAUGGAAACAAAGACCCAGAACUGAGCUAUAUAACCUCUUUACUGCAUUCCUCCUCACUAGGGAGGACACCCACAGCCUUUCUCUCUGGGUGUGCGUCUCUGCCUGUCUUCAAACUAAACAAACCAUUUCUCUGUGUGCUCUCCCACUUGCUGUUAUGCUAUAUCUCUAAUAAUAAACUUUGUAUCUGCAUUUACAGUUCUUGCCUCUGUGAUAAAUGCAUUUUUUCACUGGGGGCAAAGAUCCAGGGAAAAGUAGCUUCUAGGCUCUAGCCCUUGCUGGUCUGGUGGCUAGGAUUCCUGGUUCUCAUCCAGGCCACUCAUGUUCAAUUCCUGGGCGGGGAAUUAAGAUCUCACUUCACACCACACUCACUGCUGUCUCGCCAAGAUCAGCUGGACCCUAAAGAAGGCUGAGCGCUGAAAAAUUGAUGCUUUUGAAUUGUGAUGCUGCAGAAGACUGUUGAGACUCCCUUGGACAGCAAGAAGACCAAACCAGUCAGUCCUAAAGGAAAUCAACCCUAAAUAUUUAUUGUAAGGACUGGUGCUGAAGCUGAAGCUCCAAUACUUUGGCCACCUGAAGAGCUGACUCAUUGGAAAAGACCCUGAUGCUGGGAAUGAUUGAAGGCAAAAGGAGAAGGGGGCAGCAGAGGAUAAGAUGGCUAGAUAGCAUUACCAACUCACUGGACAUGAAUUUGAGCAAACUUAUGGAUUGCUGCAGUCCAUGGGGUUGCAAAGAGUUGGACACGACUUACCAACUGAACAGAACAUCCUGGCUUCACCGUUAUCUCUUUGAAACAAUGCCUCAGAGCUAUCUGAGAGGUUGUGUACUGGUCUACAGCUCUCAGGAAUGUCCCAAAUAAAACAUAAUUCUCAA